GGGCCCGCACAAGCGGUGGAGCAUGUGGUUUAAUUCGAUGAUACGCGAGGAACCUUACCAGGGCUUAAAUGUAGGAUGCAUUAGCUAGAGAUAGCUAUUUCUUCGGACUUCUUACAAGGUGCUGCAUGGUUGUCGUCAGCUCGUGCCGUGAGGUGUCAGGUUAAGUCCUAUAACGAGCGCAACCCCUGUCGUUAGUUGCCAGCAUGUAAAGAUGGGGACUCUAACGAGACUGCCGGUGUAAACCGCGAGGAAGGUGGGGAUGACGUCAAAUCAUCACGGCCCUUACGUCCUGGGCUACACACGUGCUACAAUGGUAUGGACAAUGAGCAGCCACUAUGCGAAUAGGAGCGAAUCUCGAAAGCCGAUCUCAGUUCGGAUUGAAGUCUGCAACUCGACUUCAUGAAGCUGGAAUCGCUAGUAA
rnacentral:rRNA from 1 species